CACACACACACACACACAUAUGCUGCUCUCUCACACACGCACACACACAUGCUCACACUGACACACACACACACACACUGCUCACAAAAAAGUAGUGUAAAGUUGCCAAACUCUUUUUUCUCUUCCUCUCCUCCGACCUCUUGCGUCUUCUCCUCAUCUACUUUUGCAUCGGUCUCUCCACCUUCUGUUUUCUCAUCACCUUCCACUGUCUCCCCCUCCCCAU